UACGUAGGGUGCGAGCGUUAAUCGGAAUUACUGGGCGUAAAGCGUGCGCAGGCGGUUUGUUAAGUCUGAUGUGAAAGCCCCGGGCUCAACCUGGGAAUGGCAUUGGAAACUGGCAAGCUGGAGUGUGGCAGAGGGGGGUGGAAUUCCGCGUGUAGCAGUGAAAUGCGUAGAUAUGCGGAGGAACACCGAUGGCGAAGGCAAUCCCCUGGGCCUGCACUGACGCUCAUGCACGAAAGCGUGGGGAGCAAAC
rnacentral:rRNA from 1 species